rnacentral:rRNA from 1 species
CGUCAGGAUGAACGCUGGCGGCGUGCCUAAUACAUGCAAGUCGAACGAGUUCUCGUUGAUGAUCGGUGCUUGCACCGAGAUUCAACAUGGAACGAGUGGCGGACGGGUGAGUAACACGUGGGUAACCUGCCCUUAAGUGGGGGAUAACAUUUGGAAACAGAUGCUAAUACCGCAUAGAUCCAAGAACCGCAUGGUUCUUGGCUGAAAGAUGGCGUAAGCUAUCGCUUUUGGAUGGACCCGCGGCGUAUUAGCUAGUUGGUGAGGUAAUGGCUCACCAAGGCGAUGAUACGUAGCCGAACUGAGAGGUUGAUCGGCCACAUUGGGACUGAGACACGGCCCAAACUCCUACGGGAGGCAGCAGUAGGGAAUCUUCCACAAUGGACGCAAGUCUGAUGGAGCAACGCCGCGUGAGUGAAGAAGGCUUUCGGGUCGUAAAACUCUGUUGUUGGAGAAGAAUGGUCGGCAGAGUAACUGUUGUCGGCGUGACGGUAUCCAACCAGAAAGCCACGGCUAACUACGUGCCAGCAGCCGCGGUAAUACGUAGGUGGCAAGCGUUAUCCGGAUUUAUUGGGCGUAAAGCGAGCGCAGGCGGUUUUUUAAGUCUGAUGUGAAAGCCCUCGGCUUAACCGAGGAAGCGCAUCGGAAACUGGGAAACUUGAGUGCAGAAGAGGACAGUGGAACUCCAUGUGUAGCGGUGAAAUGCGUAGAUAUAUGGAAGAACACCAGUGGCGAAGGCGGCUGUCUGGUCUGUAACUGACGCUGAGGCUCGA